rnacentral:rRNA from 1 species
UACGUAGGGUGCAAGCGUUAAUCGGAACUACUGGGCGUAAAGCGUGCGCAGGCGGUUAUGUAAGACAGAUGUGAAAUGCCCGGGCUCAACCUGGGAACUGCAUUUGUGACUGCAUGGCUAGAGUGUGUCAGAGGGGGGUAGAAUUCCACGUGUAGCAGUGAAAUGCGUAGAUAUGUGGAGGAAUACCGAUGGCGAAGGCAGCCCCCUGGGAUAACACUGACGCUCAUGCACGAAAGCGUGGGGAGCAAACAGG